rnacentral:rRNA from 1 species
AGUGAACGCUGGCGGUAGGCCUAACACAUGCAAGUCGAACGGCAGCACAGUAAGCGCUUGCUCUUACGGGUGGCGAGUGGCGGACGGGUGAGGCAUACAUCGGAAUCUACUUUUUCGUGGGUGAUAACGUAGGGAAACUUACGCUAAUACCGCAUACGACCUACGGGUGAAAGCAGGGGAUCUUCGGACCUUGCGCGACUGAAUGAGCCGAUGUCGGAUUAGCUAGUUGGCGGGGUAAAGGCCCACCAAGGCGACGAUCCGUAGCUGGUCUGAGAGGAUGAUCAGCCACACUGGAACUGAGACACGGUCCAGACUCCUACGGGAGGCAGCAGUGGGGAAUAUUGGACAAUGGGCGCAAGCCUGAUCCAGCCAUACCGCGUGGGUGAAGAAGGCCUUCGGGUUGUAAAGCCCUUUUGUUGGGAAAGAAAAGCAGCAGGUUAAUACCCCGCUGUUCUGACGGUACCCAAAGAAUAAGCACCGGCUAACUUCGUG